rnacentral:rRNA from 1 species
AUGACGUCAAGUCCUCAUGGCCCUUAUAGUGGGGCUACACACGUCAUACAAUGGCCGGUACAAAGGGUCGCAAACCCGCGAGGGGGAGCCAAUCCAUCAAAGCCGGUCGUAGUCCGGAUCGCAGUCUGCAACUCGACUGCGUGAAGUCGGAAUCGCUAGUAAUCGUGGAUCAGCAUGUCACGGUGAAUACGUUCCCGGGUCUU